rnacentral:rRNA from 1 species
AUUCCAGCUCCAAUAGCGUAUAUUAAAGUUGUUGUGGUUAAAAAGCUCGUAGUUGGAUCUCGGCGGUCUGAGGGCGGUUCGCUUCAGAGCGCUACUGCCCUAUAGACCGUAGUUUUGCCAGAGGUCUCAGGGUGCUCUUAACCGAGUGUCUUGCGAUGCUGGCAGGUUUACUUUGAAAAAAUUAGAGUGCUCAAAGCAGGCUUUUACGCCUGAAUAUUCGUGCAUGGAAUAAUAGAAUAGGAAGUCGUUUCUAUUUUGUUGGUUUUCGGAAAUCGACUUAAUGAUUAAUAGGGUCAGUUGGGGGUAUUCGUGUUCCGUUGUCAGAGGUGAAAUUCUUGGAUUUACGGAAGACGAACGACUGCGAAAGCAUUUACCAAGGAUGUUUUCAUUA